UCUCGAUUUCUCUCACUUUCCUGCUGAAAAAGACCAACCCAGUAGAAAUUUCUCCAGUUCUCUCUCUCAAAAACUAUAAAUCACAGUGGCCAAACUCCAGAAAAAUAAAAAUAAAUAAAUAAAUGGAAUUCGAAAAGCCAUUUGCUUUUCCUUGGAUUUGGGUUUUCCUUCGAUUUCUACACUGUCCAAAACUAGCGGCGUGGAUCAAGCUAGGGUUUUCUCUGAGCCGCGAUUGUUGCUCUGUCCUCCGCCGUCCGUCACUGUUUGUUGCUGAAAAAUUGCGGCUACAAGUUUUUUCAGAUUUUCCAAUUUCGUUGCCAAAAAAAAAAAAAAAAAAAACUCCGACGACCAGCGUUUUGUGAGCAAGGAGAAUUGACCCCAGUUAGCUCCAACCUUGCGGUAAACGAGGGCUACUCUACUGUUUUAUGCAGCAGGGGAAGGGAAGGGAAGUAAAAAUUAUAAGCAAAUGCGUAUAAGUUACAAGCUUUUAAUUAAAAAUAGAAAUGGAGUGACAACAAACAAAAUAUAGGGAUUAAGUUCAUUUAAGUAUGGGUCGUUUUGUAUUUGAAAUCUGAAAGGAGAAACAGAAAUUACAAGAAGAAGAGGAAGAUUGCGUUCCGAUCAUGGCCUUCUCUUCCUGCCUCUUAUCCAAAUCCUGACAAGGAUCUUAUUGAAAAGCAAGAAGAAUUGAAUUAGAUUAUUGCGGGGCUCAGGAAAAACUAUGCUUCUUUACAAGAGAAAUUUACGAAAUAAGAGUUGGAUAAGAUGGCUGCAAUGGAAUCUCUCAUUAUGGAAAGAGAGGCUAGACUUGAAAUUGAGCGACGACAAAAUUCCCUCUCAUAUGAGCACAGGAGAGUUCAAAGAGAGCUUUUAAGUGCUACUCAGAAGGUAGGCUCCAUGUGCAAUUGUUCUUGCUAUUUAGGCAAUUUCCUGGAACAUUGAGUAGAAAAACAAAUUAGAAUUUUGUUGGUUUUUUCUUUUAUGAAGUGUAAGCGUUAAUGCAUUUCAUCCUAAUAUGCAACUUAUAUUAGUAUCGCAUUUUGAAA